UACGUAGGGGGCAAGCGUUGUCCGGAAUCAUUGGGCGUAAAGAGCGCGUAGGCGGCCCAGUAAGUCCGCUCUGAAAGUCCGGGGCUCAACCCCUGAAUGCGGGUGGAUACUGCUGGGCUAGAGUCCGGAAGAGGCGAGUGGAAUUCCUGGUGUAGCGGUGAAAUGCGCAGAUAUCAGGAGGAACACCGAUGGCGAAGGCAGCUCGCUGGGACGGUACUGACGCUGAGGCGCGAAAGCGUGGGGAGCAAACAGG
rnacentral:rRNA from 1 species